rnacentral:rRNA from 1 species
GAUGAACGCUGGCGGCGUGCUUAACACAUGCAAGUCGAACGAAGCACUUUAACCUGAUUCUUCGGAUGAAGGUUUUUGUGACUGAGUGGCGGACGGGUGAGUAACGCGUGGGUAACCUGCCUCAUACAGGGGGAUAACAGUUAGAAAUGACUGCUAAUACCGCAUAAGACCACAGAGCCGCAUGGCUCGGUGGGAAAAACUCCGGUGGUAUGAGAUGGACCCGCGUCUGAUUAGGUAGUUGGUGGGGUAACGGCCUACCAAGCCAACGAUCAGUAGCCGACCUGAGAGGGUGACCGGCCACAUUGGGACUGAGACACGGCCCAAACUCCUACGGGAGGCAGCAGUGGGGAAUAUUGCACAAUGGGGGAAACCCUGAUGCAGCGACGCCGCGUGAGCGAAGAAGUAUUUCGGUAUGUAAAGCUCUAUCAGCAGGGAAGAAAAUGACGG